GGCCUCCCUCUGUGGGGCGAUCGAUCAUGGAGCCACCCCCACCACCCCCAUUGAUUGCCCUGCAGAGGGUGGCC
rfam:Myotis brandtii contig313189, whole genome shotgun sequence.